rnacentral:rRNA from 1 species
AUGGAAAGUGUUCAAUUAGAACAUGAAAACGUGACUCAAUUGGUCUUAGUUAGUCUUUGGGACGGAGUGGAAGAAGGGCGGAGACUCUCGAACGAGGAAAAGACUCUCAUGUACGAUUCUGUAAAGGGACAGUAA